rnacentral:rRNA from 1 species
UACAGAGGUGGCAAGCGUUGUUCGGAAUUACUGGGCGUAAAGGGCGAGUAGGUGGCCAUCUAAGUCAGACGUGAAAUCCCCCGGCUUAACCUGGGAACUGCGUCUGAUACUGGACGGCUUGAGUAUGGGAGAGGGAUGUAGAAUUCCAGGUGUAGCGGUGAAAUGCGUAGAUAUCUGGAGGAAUACCGGUGGCGAAGGCGGCAUCCUGGACCAUUACUGACACUGAACCGC